AGGGGCCAUUUGUAACCGAGCAGACGCUACCACCGCCCCUUACUCGCGGGGGGCGGGGGCGGGCGGUCAGGUGACGGCGGCCCACCCUCCGCCGCCGAGCCGGGUGGUUCCUGCCCGGGAGGAGCCCCCUGGCGCGCUCUGAUUGGAACUCCCGCCGCAGUGGCGGGGGAGGGGGGACACGUGACCGCCCGGCCAGGCGGCCCGGCGCGCCCCAUUCGCGAUGGGCACCCCAUCUUCCUCCUGGAAAAGCCGGGGGACACAGAGAAGGCGGAGGAGCACGCGGGGUGCAGGAGAGCCUACCAGCCCCUUUAGCCGCAGUGCUGGUGAUUCCGGCCGCUGAACCCGGAGAGGAAAGGCUCCCACGCGGCCAGCCGGCCUUGACUGUCCUCUCGCCCUGCCCUUGGCCGCAGUACCCUCCCCUCGGCUGCAGUAACCGCCCCCUACACCUCCAGCACAUUGUACCCGAGAGAAACUCACGGCGGUGCACUGCAGACACCGCCCAGCUCCAGGGCCCGAAGACCCUCCGACCAGGCCCCGGGAUGCCUGAGGUCUCCCAGGUCAUUACGUGGAGGAACUCAGGCCUGCUCCCUGCGCAGGAGGAGGAGGCGUCGCGGGAGCUGCAGUCCCCGAUCCUUCCCAGGAAGCCGGCCGGGUGGAAGGGGAGAGGGCCGUUAUCGUGGUGCGAAUCCAACUCGCAGCCUCUGGGAGCACGUUGCUAAUAAAGGUCAAAUUAAAACAACUAAGUGGUGCCGGCAGGGACGCGCCGCAUGGUCAGGAGAAGCCCGGCUAUUAAUCAUCCAUAAGGAGCAUUGCUCUUCUGGUGUGGGAGAAUGGGGCUGUGCGACAGCCCCCCGGAGUUGCGCUCUGCUCUGAACCCUAAGCUCCCCCAGAGCAAGUGGAUUGCGCAGCCUAUUACCCCACCUCCCCACGGCCCCCUCUUGGGGCGGCACCACCCUAGAUGGCAGGAAUUCGGAGAAAAUGCGGUGUCACGUCCGCCGCUAUGCCCGCACACGCGUCUGCGCCAACUCCAGCAACACGUGGGGACCGUGAAUCUGGGCGUCUGCUCUCCACUUAGGUGGUUAUGUGGGUAUACUUAUAUGAUUACUGAUUAAAACCAAAUUGGACGGAGAAGUCUGUUUCUACACUGGAUUCUUUCAAACUUCUGUCCAAGGGAGUUUUGCGCUCGAUUUGGGCGGGGACGCAGUUUUCAGCCAAGACCGCCGCAGCGCUCAGCAGAGCCCGGGGACCGGUGGUGGUGGUGGCGGGAUGGGGAGGAACAGAGGCCCUUGAUUCUUUGGUACUCCACUUUCUUUCCUUAUUUAGACCAGUCGGGCAACACGUCCCUCGCCCAAGAUGGCCUUUCCAACUGGAACGUGACUCAGACAAUGUGGAAGCCAGGGGUCCUUGACCCAUCGUACCUGGGCUUCGCUGGGCAUAGGACAAGGGUUGGGCAGGUUUACCUGGAAAG
rnacentral:lncRNA from 1 species